rnacentral:rRNA from 1 species
UACGUAGGGACCGAGCGUUGUCCGGAAUCAUUGGGCGUAAAGAGCGUGUAGGCGGUUCGGUAAGUCGGCUGUGAAAGUCCAGGGCUCAACCCUGGGAUGCCGGUCGAUACUGCCGGACUAGAGUUCGGAAGAGGCGAGUGGAAUUCCCGGUGUAGCGGUGAAAUGCGCAGAUAUCGGGAGGAACACCUAUGGCGAAGGCAGCUCGCUGGGACGUUACUGACGCUGAGACGCGAAAGCGUGGGGAGCAAACAGG